UAAUGAACGGAGCAUGCGCUCUGGAUCUCCCGUCCACGAUCGUGGACGGCGGUUUGAUCAAACGAGCUUGCGACCCAUGGCAGAGGUAUCUUUUCCACGCGAACGCCAGCCGAGCGAAGUACAGAGAAAAGAGGCCUCUGCUAGCAGGGAAGUUCACACGGCUCAGAGGUUCCAUCUCGUUCGAAAAAGCCCGCGAAAAAUCUUAAAUUCCAUAUAAGUGUAUGCUGUCAGUUGAAUCUAACUCACUUCCGGUAAAAAAAACUUCCGGUAAACUUUUGGAGCAUGGUGAAAGAUCGUCAGCUGAAAAGGUCAGUAUAGAUCACAACACUCACAUGGACACCAGCGGAAUUAUCGUUUAUUCCUUUUUUUUUUUCUACAAAAAUUUAUUUGUACGCGAGGGACCGGCCCUUUCAGCCGUGUGAAGAAGUUUGAGUUCACAAGGUUCGUGAACUUCACAACACUCAAAAGGACGUAAGUAAAUAAGUGAAAAAUUCAGUUGUUUUCAGUAUGCUUUGGGGUUGUUUUGUGCAGGUUUUUGCUGCUUUGGUGGAACACAGCCGUAGAUAUCAGUUAUAAAUGCCAAA